UUACAGCCAAUGAGCCAACCUUGCUCUUUUUCCUGUGAGACCUACUAUACAAUGGCUAAAAAUAGCAGCCUCCAUGGUAUUAGAUUCACCCUGAUGCAUGAAUGGACUAAUAUAAAGAACCUUGGAGAAGCUU